CUUGUGUAUUUCUCCCCCGCCCCCUCCCUCCCUCGCUGUAGAACACGUCGUCAAGUCACAGAGUUCUCCCCCUCCCGCCGUUUCCCUCACGAAGAGCGCCCACAAACAACAUAAAGACGCAGCGCACUUCGCUGUUUUGGGAGGAACGGCCUGACAUUGGUGGAUCAUCGACGUCUGUGACGCCCACAUCCGUUUUCGCCGAGCUCCCGCGUCGCUGCCUCUCUCUCCCUCGCUUCUUCCUCCUCCUCUGGUGUGGUGUCGCUUCAGGAACGGGCAGCACGGACACGCACUCGCACGGCGCUAGCAUAGCAUCUCCUCUGCGCCCGCCUGUAUUCCUUCCCUGAAGAAUGCCGCUCGACAACAAAGAGCCGCACCGCCGCGGAGCCGCGGAUGCUGCGCAGCAGCCGUCAGGGUCUGUCAAACCCAAGACGCCAUCAAACACAGUGCUGGCGUUCGCGUUGCGGGAGGAGGAGAACCACAUCGACGAUGCUGCGCUCGUCGCCGCUAUGGAUGACGAAAACGCCGACCCGCUGCUGCACCCGGCCCAGACCCGCGCGCUCUCCCACAUCGAGCAGCGCGAGGAAAACCGCUUGCGCGGCGAUCCGUGGCGCUUCGCGGUGGCGCCCAUCUUCUGCCUGCUCUCCAUCUCCAACGCCAUGCAGUGGAUCGCCUUCUCGCCCAUUGUGGAUGAGGUGCGCACGUACUUCCACAUGAACGCGACACAAGUGAACUUCCUGGCCACCACCUACGUGAUCGCCUACGUCGUCAUCGUCUUCCUCAGCUGCAAGCUGUACGAGGUGACCGGCAUCAAGAUUGGCGUCUUGAUUGCCGCCGCGGCGAACGCGCUCGGUGCGCUGCUGAAGAUUAUCGCCCUCUACGCGUGGCCCAACGCGGCCCUGCUGUACCUCGCGCAGGUCUCCAACAGCUUCACGGAGGUGCUCACAAUCGCGACGCCUCCGCUCAUAUCGAACCGCUGGUUCCCGGAGAAGGAGCGCAUGGUGGCGAACACCGUCAUGUCCUCGGCGCUCAAUUUCGGGUGCGGUAUCGGCGUCCUCAUCCCGACCUUCUUCGUGGGCCCGGAUAAGCAGUCGAAGAAGCACUUCGGCAACUUCUUCUGGUUUCACUUCGCCUACGCGGCGCUGGUGCUCGCUCUCGUCGUCUUCCUCUUUCCACGGAAGCCGCGCUACGCCGCCAGCCACGUCGCGGCGCGGCAGCAGAACCGCGAGGAGCGCCGCCUGCGCGCGCUCGAUCACGUGUUGCACCGCCGGCACAGCGACGAGGAUGAAGAGUCUGACAACCGGCCGCAUCCGCAUGUCGGGCAGAAGAAGGGCGUCGCCAAGGGCAAGAAUGAGCCUCUCGUAGCCGGCGUGACGGAUGCCUGCAAGGAGGGCAGCUGCGACGUGGCGGCGGCGGCGGCGGGCAACCAGUGCGCCAGCAGCAACGGUACCGCUGUGGAGCACGUCAUCGACGAGAUUCAGGACGCGGAGUCGGAGAGCGAGAGGGAAGAGCCGGAGGUGCAGCCGGUGAACGUCUUCUCCGUGCUGAUGGACUGCUUCCGCGAGUUCCGCAGUAACUGGUCCUUCAUUCUCCUUGCCAUCAGCUCUGCCGCGGAGCUGGGUCUCAUCUGGGGUGUGGCGACGGUGCUGCCGCAGAUGCUGGCCCCGUACGGCAUCAGCGAGGCCAUGGCCGGCUGGAUCGGCUUCCUCAACCUCGUGCUCGGCACCGUCGUCUGCCCCUUCUUUAUGCCACUCGUGGACCGCUAUGGCCGCCGCUACAAGCUGCUUCUGUGCGCCCUGUCCGUGAUGGUGGUGAUUGUCAUGGUGCUGCUCACGCUGCUGCUGCACUUCGGCCCCGCCGUGCACGAGAAUAGCAAGCACUACGUCACGGCCGUCUUUGUGCUCUGGGGCGGGGUCGCGGGUAUCUGCCAGAACUUCAUGAUGCCGCUCAUGUUCGAGUACGUUGUGGAGCUGACCUUCCCCAUGGCGGAGAGCACGUCCGCACCGGUUCUGACGUGGACCGCUUGCCUGACGAACUUUCUGCUCACGCUCAUCUUCGGUGAAGUGCUGACCGACACGCCCACGGAAAAUAAGGCGCUGCGCACCUUCAUCGGCGCCACCGUCGUCUCCUUUAUUGGCUGCGUGACCCUCUUCCUCACGAAGCCGUUGACGAAGCGCACGGACUACGAGAAGCGCCAGGCCGAGGCCCUCGAGCAGCGCAAGAUGCGCCUGCAGUCGGCGGCAGCGGUAGCGGCGGGCAUGAACGGCGCUUGUCUCCAUUACGACGUCGACGGCGCCCCAGUCGGCGUGUCAGCGGCGCAGCCCCCGGUGGCGCACCAAAACUCCGCCCACAGCCACCACGACGGUGAGGCCACAAAGGUCAAGAGGGCCUGAGCAGCAAGAGCUGCAGAGGGGACAUCCGCGCAUGGCACUCACCGCCCACGCGCGCGCGCUUGUCUCCGACUCGCCCUCUCACCUCUCGCUUCGCCAAACACGCACGGCUCCUGCCAUCUUCGCCGUCACGCUGCACGUCUUGGGAGGGGUAACCAACUCGAGAGAUGCAGCUCUCAGGGGGAGUGGCACUCUGAAGUUCCAAGCACGCACGCACGCACGCACGCACGCACGCACGCACGCACGCACACACACGCACACAUAUAUAUAUACAUAAAAAGAGAUGAUGAGUGUGUGUUGGACAGGGUGAGAGAGGAGGGAGGAGGGCGGUGAGGGGGUGGGAGGGAAGGAGGGGAGGGGAGGGGCACUGCACACCCAUGCGGAGGUGGUGCAUCCGCGUCUACGAGCAGACGAUUCUUUGGCCCUCUGUCACUGGCGCUUUUCAGUUUUCAACCAUCAUCACCGAACUGCCACUGCCCAACCGCGCCGUUGCCCUUCUGUUUCCUUCAUGGGAAUCAGUCGGAGCAGAGAGCAGACGGGCGGGCGACAACGGGCGAUGUGUAUGCAAGCGCAUGGGCGAGAGGCUAUCCCCAGCGUGCAUCACUCACCCCACCCCCACACACACGCAGGUACCCCGUCCGCUUACUCGCCCCUUCACGGUCUUCGACUCGGCUUGACUCUCGCUCUCCGCUUGUUCUGGUCUCUUCAUUUUGAAUCCCCCUCCUGCCCGCCUCCACUCCCCUUCCUUUCCUAUCUCCAGUGUGUUAUUUGUUGCUCGCGUGGGGUGGUGUGUGCAUGUGUAUGUAUGCAUGGCAUGGCCGCCUUGUUAGACACCGUCGAAGUUGCGCCAUCGGUGGAGUUUGUGUGUGUGUGUGUGGGGGGGGGGGGGGGGGGAGGGGGGCGGUGAGUGGGUGUGGGCGUGCAGAUGCAUGUUCAACCGUCGGCCAUCUGGCACCGCCGCCGUCCUCCUCCCUUCCACCUCACGUCCUCUGGACGGCGCCUUUUCACCCUUCUCGUCUCGUCCAGUUGGAUUACAUAAUAUAUAUAUAUAUAUAUCACUAUUAUUAUAUAUAUAUAUGUGUGUGUAUACAUGUUUGUGUGUCUGUAUAUGUUCUGUGUAACGCCUCCUUCGCUUCGUUUUUUUUUCUGUGGACGUACUCGGAGACGCACGCGCGCGCAGGCCGCCUCUCUCCCUCGCUCGCUCGCUCACUCGCUCCUUCGAUUUCUUUUUGUGCGGCCGCUCUGCAGAACAGCGAAAUGGGGGCGUGUCUCUGCGUGUCUGCCUCAUCACUCGGCGCACGAUGGCGCACGGACGGCGUGCCUCUGUGUCCAGCGCUUACCGUGCGUGUGUGUCGUUGGAGCGUCUUUGGGGUACCGAGCUCGUAUCCCUUUCUUCCGUCCGCGUUCUUGUCUUCUCUGUCUCUUAUUUUUUUUUUUCACAUGUGCCGUUCUUCGGUUUCGUUGUUUGCGAGGACCCCUACCGCCAUCGCCUCCCGCGGCACUCCGCGCUGGUAGCGGCUUCGCGAUGUCGGCAGGUUCUGCUCGAUGCUGAUGUGGUCUUUUUCGCAGUUUUGCUUUGUUUCUUUUGGGGAGGGAGGCACGACAGGGUGGCGGCAUGAGACGCGCCCCCCUCCCCCCUUUCUCUCUCUCCCUCCCUCCCCAUCACCCCGUCGCCGCAGGCCCUUUACUGCCCGUCUUUAGCUCUCGUUUCUGUACACGUGUGUGUGUGUGUGUGUGUGCUCUCUCUAUAUACAUGUAUAUAGAUGGAGUUCUUUAGUGCUUGUGUGUGUGCGUGUGUGUGGGGGAGGGAGGAGGGGGGACGGUGUGUCGGUGGGUGGGUGUCUCUCUCUCUCUGCCCAUGUUUCUCUCUGUGCGUCCACGCCAUGGCCCGCUGGGUCGUGUAUAGAACCUAAAUCCCCUCCUCUGUCUAUUAACGACCUCUUUCCUGUGCGCGUCGGCGGAUGCAACACUUCGACUCUCUGACACAGAGUCGAAAACCCUCUUUCUGCUUGCGCAGCUCCUGAGCUUGCGGAACCGCCGCUGGUGCCCUCGUGGAUGUGUAUGUGUGUGUGUGUGUGUGUGUGUGUGUGUGUUUGUGUGUGGAUGUGUACACGUUUUCAGGAGGGAGAGGAGGGUGCCGCGGCGCAUCUGUUUGUGGCCAUGUGUUUCGCUCAGCCUGCGUCUUGAGCAAGUAGAUGCUGAAGAUGAUGGAAGGUGGUAGAGCGCGUGCGCGCAGACAAGUGUGCUUGCAUGUGUACACAAAGAGCCCCAUAAUGAAGGAGAACAAUUAACAACGCGAGGGCAUCUCUUCAGAAAAGUAAUGCUGAGGGCAUACAGGC
rnacentral:misc_RNA from 1 species